GUACAUGCAAGUCGAGCGGACUGAUGGGAGCUUGCUCCCUGAGGUUAGCGGCGGACGGGUGAGUAACACGUGGGCAACCUGCCUGUAAGACUGGGAUAACUCCGGGAAACCGGGGCUAAUACCGGAUAACCCGUUCCACCUCAUGGUGGAGCGGUAAAAGAUGGCCUCUGGCUAUCACUUACAGAUGGGCCCGCGGCGCAUUAGCUAGUUGGUAAGGUAANGGCUUACCAAGGCGACGAUGCGUAGCCGACCUGAGAGGGUGAUCGGCCACACUGGGACUGAGACACGGCCCAGACUCCUACGGGAGGCAGCAGUAGGGAAUCUUCCGCAAUGGACGAAAGUCUGACGGAGCAACGCCGCGUGAGUGAUGAAGGUUUUCGGAUCGUAAAGCUCUGUUGUUAGGGAAGAACAAGUGCCGUUUGAAUAAGGCGGCACCUUGACGGUACCUAACCAGAAAGCCACGGCUAACUACGUGCCAGCAGCCGCGGUAAUACGUAGGUGGCAAGCGUUGUCCGGAAUUAUUGGGCGUAAAGCGCGCGCAGGCGGUCUCUUAAGUCUGAUGUGAAAGCCCACGGCUCAACCCUGGAGGGUNCAUUUGGAAACUGGGAGACUUUGAGUCNAGAAGAAGGAGAGUGGAAUUUCCCCCUGNUAGCGGUUGAAAAUGCCGUUANANUAUNUGGGAGGAACCCCNNUNGGCCNAAAGNGGACUCCNCUGGUCNUGUUAACUGGACCCUUGAAGGCNGCCCAAAGACGUGGGGGANGNAAAANACC
rnacentral:rRNA from 1 species